rnacentral:rRNA from 1 species
AUUGAACGCUGGCGGCAUGCCUUACACAUGCAAGUCGAACGGCAGCACGGGGCAACCUGGUGGCGAGUGGCGAACGGGUGAGUAAUGCAUCGGAACGUGCCAUUGAGUGGGGGAUAACGUAGCGAAAGUUGCGCUAAUACCGCAUAUUCUGUGAGCAGGAAAGCAGGGGACCGCAAGGCCUUGCGCUCUUUGAGCGGCCGAUGUCAGAUUAGCUAGUUGGUGAGGUAACGGCUUACCAAGGCGACGAUCUGUAGCGGGUCUGAGAGGAUGAUCCGCCACACUGGAACUGAGACACGGUCCAGACUCCUACGGGAGGCAGCAGUGGGGAAUUUUGGACAAUGGGGGCAACCCUGAUCCAGCCAUGCCGCGUGAGUGAAGAAGGCCUUCGGGUUGUAAAGGACUCUUUCGCCGGGAAGAAAUCGCAUGGGUUAAUACCCUGUGCGGAUGACGGUACCGGCAUAAGAAGACACCGGCGUAACUACGUAGCCACG